AUUGAACGCUGGCGGCAUGCUUUACACAUGCAAGUCGAACGGUAACAGGGUGCUUGCACCGCUGACGAGUGGCGAACGGGUGAGUAAUGCGUCGGAACGUGCCGAGUAGUGGGGGAUAACGCAGCGAAAGUUGUGCUAAUACCGCAUACGUACUGAGGUAGAAAGUGGGGGACCUUCGGGCCUCACGCUAUUCGAGCGGCCGACGUCUGAUUAGCUAGUAGGUGAGGUAAAGGCUCACCUAGGCGACGAUCAGUAGCGGGUCUGAGAGGAUGGUCAGCCACACUGGGACUGAGACACGGCCCAGACUCCUACGGGAGGCAGCAGUGGGGAAUUUUGGACAAUGGGCGAAAGCCUGAUCCAGCCAUGCCGCGUGUCUGAAGAAGGCCUUCGGGUUGUAAAGGACUUUUGUCAGGGAGGAAAUCCCUAGUGCUAAUAACACUGGGGGAUGACAGUACCUGAAGAGUAAGCACCGGCUAACUACGUGCCAGCAGCCGCAGUAA
rnacentral:rRNA from 1 species